rnacentral:rRNA from 1 species
ACACUCCUGCGGGAGGCAGCAGUGGGGAAUAUUGCACAAUGGGCGCAAGCCUGAUGCAGCGACGCCGCGUGGGGGAUGAAGGCCUUCGGGUUGUAAACUCCUUUCGCUAGGGACGAAGCUUUUUUGUGACGGUACCUAGAUAAGAAGCACCGGCUAACUACGUGCCAGCAGCCGCGGUAAUACGUAGGGUGCGAGCGUUGUCCGGAAUUACUGGGCGUAAAGGGCUCGUAGGUGGUUUGUCGCGUCGUCUGUGAAAUUCUGGGGCUUAACUCCGGGCGUGCAGGCGAUACGGGCAUAACUUGAGUGCUGUAGGGGUAACUGGAAUUCCUGGUGUAGCGGUGAAAUGCGCAGAUAUCAGGAGGAACACCGAUGGCGAAGGCAGGUUACUGGGCAGUUACUGACGCUGAGGAGCGAAAGCAUGGGUAGCGAACAGGAUUAGAAACCCUAGUAGUCCCAUGAU